rnacentral:rRNA from 1 species
GUGGGGAAUUUUGGACAAUGGGGGCAACCCUGAUCCAGCCAUGCCGCGUGAGUGAAGAAGGCCUUCGGGUUGUAAAGCUCUUUCGGUGGGAACGAAACGGGGCGGGUGAACAACGCGCCUCAAUGACGGUACUCACAGAAGAAGCACCGGCUAACUACGUGCCAGCAGCCGCGGUAAUACGUAGGGUGCGAGCGUUAAUCGGAAUUACUGGGCGUAAAGCGUGCGCAGGCGGUCUCGCAAGCUGGGUGUGAAAGCCCCGGGCUUAACCUGGGAGGUGCAUUCAGGACUGUGAGGCUUGGAGUGCGGCAGAGGGAGGUGGAAUUCCAGGUGUAGCAGUGAAAUGCGUAGAGAUCUGGAGGAACACCGAUGGCGAAGGCAGCCUCCUGGGCCGACACUGACGCUCAAGCACGAAAGCGUGGGGAGCAAACAGGAUUAGAUACCCUUGUAGUCC